UCACACUCUACCAGAGUCCCAGAGGAAAACACCAGCACCUGCUCCGCCUCCAAGAUGGAGGAAACCAGGUGCUGUGUCAGAGGAAGAGAGACAGGUGGACAAAGAAGGAGAAAGAAGAGAGGGGGAAAAGGUGAUGAGGGGAUCCACAAGGGUCAACGUGUCCCCAGCGGCGAGCUUGACAUACAUCUGAGCGCUGUAAUGCUCAGUGAACCAUAAUAUUUCAUUAAAUAGAGAUUUGGAAGAUGUCCUGGGAAGACCUACCUUCAAAAACAUCCACCAUGUUGAAGAAGGCCAGAGACAGAGAAGACUUUCCACUGCCCGUUCUGCCACAGAUGCCCACCUGGGACAAAAAGAACAACAGGGUUGAUGUGUGCAUUGACUUGUUUGAGGACGGGUUUGAGCAUGGAGUCAUAACGGACACACAGAUCAUGGAUCUUUAUCUCUCCAUGCUGUGGCCAGUCUUCCGGUACCUGUGAGAUAUCUGAAAUCAAAGUGAAGAAAAUUAUUUAGAUUGCCAUUUUAUAUAUUCAGUGUUUUAACUGUUACGAGAUAAAAUAUAGCAAAACUGACGUAUCCGACUGCUGAUGUGAUCUCAACAUGACGCCAUUAUGAGGCUACCAUGUUCAUAUAGAAUAAAAUAGCUUUUCUGGGCCACUGAUUGUGGCAUAAUUUUA